GACGAACGCUGGCGGCGUGCUUAACACAUGCAAGUCGAACGGUAAGGCCCCUUUGGGGGUACUCGUGUGGCGAACGGGUGAGUAAGACGUGAGUAACCUGCCCUUGACUUCGGGAUAACGUCAGGAAACUGGGGCUAAUACCGGUUAGGAAUACUUGCUGCAUGGAGGGGGUUGGAAAGCUUCGGCUGUUUUGGAUGGACUCGCGGCUUAUCCGGCUGUUGGUGGGGUAGUGGCUUACCAAAGCGUUGACCGGUAGGCGGCCUGAGAGGGCGCCCGGCCACAUUGGGACUGCGAUACGGCGCAGUCUCCUACGGGCGGCAACAGUGGGGAAUAUUGCCCAACGGGCGGGCGCCUGAUGCAGCAACGCCGCGUGCGUGAUGCCGUCCUUCUGGUUGUGAACCGCUUUCAGCAGGGGCGAAGCUUGUGGUGACGGUACCUGCAGAAGAAGCACCGGCUAACUACGUG
rnacentral:rRNA from 1 species